rnacentral:rRNA from 1 species
GAUGAACGCUGGCGGCGCGCCUAACACAUGCAAGUCGAACGAUUAAAGCACCUUCGGGUGUGUAUAAAGUGGCGAACGGCUGAGUAACACGUGGGCAACCUGCCCCUUUCAUUGGGAUAGCCACGGGAAACCGUGGAUAAUACCGAAUACUUCGAGACUUCCGCAUGGAAGACUCGAGAAAGCUCCGGUGGAGAGGGAUGGGCCCGCGGCCUGUUAGCUUGUUGGUGGGGUAACGGCCUACCAAGGCAAUGAUGGGUAGCUGGGUUGAGAGACCGACCAGCCAGAUUGGGACUGAGACACGGCCCAGACUCCUACGGGAGGCAGCAGUGGGGAAUCUUGCACAAUGGGCGAAAGCCUGAUGCAGCGACGCCGCGUGCGGGAUGAAGGCCUUCGGGUUGUAAACCGCUUUCAGCAGGGACGAGGCGAAAGUGACGGUACCUGCAGAAGAAGCCCCGGCUAACUACGUG